GGUGAACGCUGGCGGUAGGCCUAACACAUGCAAGUCGAACGGCAGCACAGUAAGAGCUUGCUCUUACGGGUGGCGAGUGGCGGACGGGUGAGGAAUACAUCGGAAUCUACUUUUUCGUGGGGGAUAACGUAGGGAAACUUACGCUAAUACCGCAUACGACCUACGGGUGAAAGCAGGGGAUCUUCGGACCUUGCGCGAUUGAAUGAGCCGAUGUCGGAUUAGCUAGUUGGCGGGGUAAAGGCCCACCAAGGCGACGAUCCGUAGCUGGUCUGAGAGGAUGAUCAGCCACACUGGAACUGAGACACGGUCCAGACUCCUACGGGAGGCAGCAGUGGGGAAUAUUGGACAAGGGGCGCAAGCCUGAUCCAGCCAUACCGCGUGGGUGAAGAAGGCCUUCGGGUUGUAAAGCCCUUUUGUUGGGAAAGAAAAGCAGCAGGUUAAUACCCCGCUGUUCUGACGGUACCCAAAGAAUAAGCACCGGCUAACUUCGUG
rnacentral:rRNA from 1 species